CACGAGUUCCGUCGGCUGGGCGACGUGUGUUGUGGGUAUAAUCGUAAACCGGUCUUCUUGGUUUCGUGGCAAGAGUCAACGGUAUGACUUCCUUGGCAUAACUUCCCAUAUAUAACACCUGGGCUGCAGAUUCUUCGAAGAUGACGAGCAGACACGCGGAACGAGUCUUCCUCCGUGACCGAUGGAUACAACGGAAAACUGCAGAACUACCAACCGAAACGAGAACCCGUUACGUCC